AAGUAAGUGAAUAAGAGACGACCUGAAGUGAAAAAUAAAGAAUUUAUAUGAAUGGAGGGAAUGUAGCACUCUAACAUCAGAGGUCACCAGACAUCCUGUUGGAUUAGAUGCUAAGGUCAUGGAAAGUCUUUGAUAUUCUCAAUCGAAGCACAAACAAAAUUAUGAAAUAUGACUUUAUUAACUCAGGAAUUGGAAUACCAAGUGUUUAUCAUGUUGUGGUAGUUAUUUUUCUGGAAUACUUUGCCUGGGGGCUUUUGACAACCACUUCU
rnacentral:lncRNA from 1 species